CUACGUGCCAGCAGCCGCGGUAAUACGGAAGGUCCGGGCGUUAUCCGGAUUUAUUGGGUUUAAAGGGAGCGUAGGCUGGAGAUUAAGUGUGUUGUGAAAUGUAGACGCUCAACGUCUGACUUGCAGCGCAUACUGGUUUCCUUGAGUACGCACAACGUUGGCGGAAUUCGUCGUGUAGCGGUGAAAUGCUUAGAUAUGACAAAGAACUCCGAUUGCGAAGGCAGCUGACGGGAGCGCAACUGACGCUGAAGCUCGAAGGUGCGGGUAUCGAACAGGAUUAGAUACCCUGGUAGUCCGCACAGUAAACGAUGGAUGCCCGCUGUUGGUACCUGGUAUCAGCGGCUAAGCGAAAGCAUUAAGCAUCCCACCUGGGGAGUACGCCGGCAACGGUGAAACUCAAAGGAAUUGACGGGGGCCCGCACAAGCGGAGGAACAUGUGGUUUAAUUCGAUGAUACGCGAGGAACCUUACCCGGGCUUGAA
rnacentral:rRNA from 1 species